rnacentral:rRNA from 1 species
GCCAGUCGCCACGGGAAUACGAAGGGGGCUAGCGUUGUUCGGAUUUACUGGGCGUAAAGGGUGCGUAGGCGGAUUGUUAAGUCAGGGGUGAAAUGCCGGGGCUCAACCUCGGAACUGCCUCUGAUACUGGCGAUCUUGAGUCCGGGAGAGGUGAGUGGAACUGCGAGUGUAGAGGUGAAAUUCGUAGAUAUUCGCAAGAACACCAGUGGCGAAGGCGGCUCACUGGCCCGGAACUGACGCUGAGGCACGACAGCGUGGGGAGCAAACAGGAUUAGAUACCCCUGUAGUCCCUGUCUCUUAUA